AGAGUUUGAUCAUGGCUCAGGACGAACGCUGGCGGCGUGCUUAACACAUGCAAGUCGAACGAAGCACUUUGAAGGAAUUCUUCGGAAGGAAUUCAACUUGACUUAGUGGCGGACGGGUGAGUAACGCGUGAGCAACCUGCCUACAAGAGGGGAACAACAGUUGGAAACGACUGCUAAUACCGCAUAAGACCACGCUAUCGCAUGGUAGAGAGGUCAAAGAUUUAUCGCUUGUAGAUGGGCUCGCGUCCGAUUAGCUGGUUGGUGAGGUAAUGGCUCACCAAGGCGACGAUCAGUAGCCGACCUGAGAGGGUGAUCGGCCACACUGGAACUGAGACACGGUCCAGACUCCUACGGGAGGCAGCAGUGGGGAAUAUUGGGCAAUGGGGGCAACCCUGACCCAGCAACGCCGCGUGAGGGAAGAAGGUUUUCGGAUUGUAAACCUCUGUCCUUGGGGACGAAGAAGUGACGGUACCCAAGGAGGAAGCUCCGGCUAACUACGUGCCAGCAGCCGCGGUAAUACGUAGGGAGCGAGCGUUGUCCGGAAUUACUGGGCGUAGGCGGUUUGGUAAGUCAGAUGUGAAAUACCCGGGCUUAACCCGGGGGCUGCAUCUGAUACUGUCAGACUUGAGUGCAGGAGAGGAAAGCGGAAUUCCUAGUGUAGCGGUGAAAUGCGUAGAUAUUAGGAGGAACACCAGUGGCGAAGGCGGCUUUCUGGACUGUAACUGACGCUGAGGCACGAAAGCGUGGGGAGCAAACAGGAUUAGAUACCCUGGUAGUCCACGCCGUAAACGAUGGAUACUAGGUGUAGGCAUCAUAAGAUGUCUGUGCCGCAGCAAACGCAUUAAGUAUCCCGCCUGGGGAGUACGACCGCAAGGUUGAAACUCAAAGGAAUUGACGGGGGCCCGCACAAGCAGCGGAGCAUGUGGUUUAAUUCGAAGCAACGCGAAGAACCUUACCAAGGCUUGACAUCCUCUGACCGCCAUAGAGAUAUGGCUUCCCUUCGGGGCAGAGAGACAGGUGGUGCAUGGUUGUCGUCAGCUCGUGUCGUGAGAUGUUGGGUUAAGUCCCGCAACGAGCGCAACCCUUAUCAUUAGUUGCCAGCGAGUAACGUCGGGAACUCUAAUGAGACUGCCGGGGACAACUCGGAGGAAGGUGGGGACGACGUCAAAUCAUCAUGCCCCUUAUGUCUUGGGCUACACACGUGCUACAAUGGCCGGUACAAAGAGCUGCGAAACCGUAAGGUCAAGCGAAUCUCAAAAAGCCGGUCCCAGUUCGGAUUGUGGGCUGCAACCCGCCCACAUGAAGUCGGAGUUGCUAGUAAUCGCGAAUCAGCAUGUCGCGGUGAAUGCGUUCCCGGGCCUUGUACACACCGCCCGUCACACCAUGGAAGUUGGGGGUACCCGAAGCCGGUGGCCUAACCGCAAGGGGGGAGCCGUCGAAGGUAAAACCAAUGACUGGGGUGAAGUCGUAACAAGGUA
rnacentral:rRNA from 1 species